GCAGACACAUUCCAGCCAAUCAGCAGCAGACCCUCCCUCCCAGACCCUCCCACCUCCUGGACAGCAUCCAUUUUACAUUCUUAGUGAGCUGUCCAGGAGGUGGGAGGGUCUGGGAGGGAGGGUCUGCUGCUGAUUGGCUGGAAUGUGUCUG